rnacentral:misc_RNA from 1 species
GAUGAAGAACGUAGCGAAAUGCGAUAAUUAAUGUGAAUUGCAGAAUUCAGUGAAUCAUCGAAUCUUUGAACGCACAUUGCGCCCGCCAGUAUUCUGGCGGGCAUGCCUGUUCGAGCGUCAUUACAACCCUCAGGCCCCCGGGCCUGGCGUUGGGGAUCGGCGGAGCCCCCCGUGGGCACACGCCGUCCCCCAAAUGCAGUGGCGGUCCCGCCGCAGCUUCCAUCGCGUAGUAGCUAACACCUCGCGACUGGAGAGCGGCGCGGCCACGCCGUAAAACACCCAACUCUUCUGAAGUUGACCUCGAAUCAGGUAGGAAUACCCGCUGAACUUAAGCAUAUCAAUAAGCGGAGGA